UACAGAGGUCUCAAGCGUUGUUCGGAUUCAUUGGGCGUAAAGCGCGCGUAGGCGGCUCGGAAAGUCGGGCGUGAAAUGCCGGGGCUCAACCCCGGGACUGCGUCCGAUACUUCCGAGCUGGAGGUAGGUAGGGGAGAUCGGAAUUCCUGGUGUAGCGGUGAAAUGCGCAGAUAUCAGGAGGAACACCGAUGGCGAAGGCAGGCU
rnacentral:rRNA from 1 species